ACGGAAGGCAGCAGCUAAGAAUAUUCCGCAAUGGACGAAAGUCUGACGGAGCGACGCCGCGUGGAUGAUGAAGGCCGGAAGGUUGUAAAAUCCUUUUGAAACCGAGGAAUAAGCGCAGGAGGGAAUGCCUGUGUGGUGACUGUAAGUUUUGAAUAAGCACCGGCUAAUUACGUGCCAGCAGCCGCGGUAACACGUAAGGUGCAAGCGUUGUUCGGAAUUAUUGGGCGUAAAGGGCAUGUAGGCGGUCAGGCAAGCUUGGUGUGAAAUCCCGGGGCUCAACUCCGGAACUGCAUUGAGAACUACUUGGCUAGAAUCACUGAGGGGGAACCGGAAUUCCUAGUGUAGGGGUGAAAUCUGUAGAUAUUAGGAAGGACACCAAUGGCGAAGGCAGGUUUCUAGCAGAUGAUUGACGCUGAGGUGCGAAGGUGCGGGGAGCAAACAGGAUUAGAUACCCUGGUA
rnacentral:rRNA from 1 species